rnacentral:rRNA from 1 species
GACGAACGCUGGCGGCGUGCCUAAUACAUGCAAGUAGGACGCAGUUGCGAACGGGUGAGUAACGCGUAGGUAACUACCUAUUAGAGGGGGAUAACUAUUGGAAACGAUAGCUAAUACCGAAUACUAGUAGAAGGAAAUGCGUUGUAUUGGCUAGUAGGUAGGGUAAUGGCCUACCUAGGCAACGAUACAUAGCCUACCUGAGCGGGUGACUGGCCAGCCUGGGACUGAGACACGUGCCAGACUCCUACGGGAUGCAGCAGUAGGGAAUCUUCGGCAAUUGGGGGAACCCUGAACGAGCAACGCCGCGGGAGUGAAGAAGGUUUUCGGAUCGUAAAGCUCUGUUGUUAAGGAAGCGGUACUUAACCAGAAAGGGACGGCUAACUACGUGCCAGCAGCCGCGGUAAUAC